rnacentral:rRNA from 1 species
AGAGUUUGAUCCUGGCUCAGAUUGAACGCUGGCGGCAUGCCUUACACAUGCAAGUCGAACGGUAACAGGUCUUCGGAUGCUGACGAGUGGCGAACGGGUGAGUAAUACAUCGGAACGUGCCCGAUCGUGGGGGAUAACGCAGCGAAAGCUGUGCUAAUACCGCAUACGAUCUACGGAUGAAAGCGGGGGACUCGCAAGGGCCUCGCGCGGACGGAGCGGCCGAUGGCAGAUUAGGUAGUUGGUGGGAUAAAAGCUUAUCAAGCCGACGAUCUGUAGCUGGUCUGAGAGGACGACCAGCCACACUGGGACUGAGACACGGCCCAGACUCCUACGGGAGGCAGCAGUGGGGAAUUUUGGACAAUGGGCGCAAGCCUGAUCCAGCCAUGCCGCGUGCAGGAUGAAGGCCUUCGGGUUGUAAACUGCUUUUGUACGGAACGAAAAAGCCUUCUCUAAUAAAG